AUUGUAUCAGACUUGAUUUUGUAUUUACAAUUAUUUGAAAAUCUAUAAAUUUGGCUUAUUAUGAUGAAAACGAUUGCAUAGAAUCUGAAUUUUAAAAAGAGGAACAUAUUGAAAAUGCUAUUGAAAAUAAUAUUAAAUCAAGACGGUCAUCUACACUUACUAGAAAAAUGAGGAUAUGAGUAAUAAAAAUAUGGCUCACCUAAUGCUUUGCCUAUGUCAAUUAAUGAGGUGCCUGUAUUGAGUACAUAUGAAGAUCAAUUCAUAAGCCCAAUAGAAAAUGAAGCUGCUGAACAGUCGUCAGAAGAAAAAAAACAAUUUAAAAGAUAAUACAGAUAAUACUUUCAUGACAAUUGACCUUGCAAUUGAUGAUUCAUCUAUAUUAAUUAUUGGCAACUUCAUUCCACAAUGUUAGAGUUAUCUAUAAUUAUAUAAAAUUAUAAUAUAUUAUUUAAUAAUGAAUCAAAAAAUGAAAUAAAAAACACCUUUUCAUUACUAUCGUCGAUUACUUAAUAUUAUUUGUUUUUUCGUAUGUUUGGCCAUUUUUAGAAAAAACAUUGUUUAUUUGACCUAAAUCAUCUAUAUAACAGUGUUUAUAUCUGAAAGCGUAUAAUGAUUUUAUUUUUUCCAAAUUUUAGCUUUGUUAAU